rnacentral:rRNA from 1 species
GGCCCGGCGAGGUGGUCUCACCUAGUGUGAGUACUGCUUUUCCGCUGGGUCUUUUCUUUUGGGGAACCAAUGUGCUCUUAAUUGGGUGCGUUGGGGAUCCAAAACUUUUACUGUGAAAAAAUUAGAGUGUUUAAAGCAGGCCUACGCUUGAAUACAUUAGCAUGGAAUAAUGGAAUAGGACUUUGGUUCUAUUUUGUUGGUUUCUAGGACUAAAGUA